rnacentral:tRNA from 1 species
GGAGGCGUGGCAGAGUGGUUGAAUGUACCGCUUUCGAAAAGCGGCAGGCCUGAAAGGGUCUCGGAGGUUCGAAUCCUCCCGCCUCCG